rnacentral:rRNA from 1 species
GACGAACGCUGGCGGCGUGCUUAACACAUGCAAGUCGAACGAUGAAGCCCAGCUUGCUGGGUGGAUUAGUGGCGAACGGGUGAGUAACACGUGGGCAACCUGCCCCAAACUCUGGGAUAACUCCUCGAAAGAGGUGCUAAUACCGGAUACGAACUAGACAGACAUCUGUACUAGUUGGAAAGUUUUUCGGUUUGGGAUGGGCCCGCGGCCUAUCAGCUUGUUGGUGAGGUAACGGCUCACCAAGGCUACGACGGGUAACCGGCCUGAGAGGGCGACCGGUCACACUGGGACUGAGACACGGCCCAGACUCCUACGGGAGGCAGCAGUGGGGAAUAUUGCGCAAUGGGCGAAAGCCUGGCGCAGCGACGCCGCGUGAGGGAUGAAGGUCUUCGGAUCGUAAACCUCUUUCAGUAGGGACGAAGCGAAAGUGACGGUACCUAAAGAAGAAGCACCGGCUAACUACGUGCCAGCAGCCGCCGUAA